rnacentral:misc_RNA from 1 species
GCAAACUUGGUCAUUUAGAGGAAGUAAAAGUCGUAACAAGGUUUCCGUAGGUGAACCUGCGGAAGGAUCAUUACAAAAUCUUAAAGUCAGGGGUAACCGUGACUGCUGUCUGCAAGCACCCGGACUGGGUAUCCCCCAGCCACGGUGUUGACAGUUAACCCUUGUGAAAAUUCCCUUGUCGCUUUGACAGCACCUCCCGGCCUGCCGGGAGGAUCAGCCUGCCGACAGUACCUUAGGAAACCCUCUGUCCCGAAAGGAAGCAUUAAAUACGUCUGAAGGCGCAGUCGAAUGACACGUAAAACUUUCAACAACGGAUCUCUUGGUUCCCGCAUCGAUGAAGAACGCAGC